AGCGGAAGUAGAAGAUCUCAGAAGCUAGGAAGGUGAAGAAGAGAGGGACUGUGAAGCUAACCAGCUUCACCUCCCUCACUGAUUCAGCAUGGGGGAGAGGUCAGAAAACUGUAGGGUUCCAGAGGAUCUGUUCAAUGGUUUGAAAGUUACAGAUCCCCAGGAGGCAGAAUGUGCUAGUCCUUCGGUUUCUAAUCCCAAAGAUAGCCAGCCCCAGAGCAAGCUGCUUACGGAUGUUGAGCCCCAGGAGGACCAGGGAGAAGAGGAGCACUUUCAUGACUGCAGCGCCUCGUUUGAAACGGAGGAACCAGGAGUGGACAAGGUUGAGGACAAACCUGAUAAUGAUGUAAAUUCCUCUGAACUCGAUGAAGAAUACCUAUUAGAACUGGAAAAAAACAUGCCAGAUGAAGAGAAACAGAAAAGAAGAGAAGAGAGCACUAAACUGAAGGAAGAGGGCAAUGAGCAGUUUAAGAAAGGAGAUUACAUAGACGCUGAAAGUUCUUAUAGUCAAGCCCUUCAGAUGUGCCCAUCCUGCUUCCAGAAAGACAGGUCUAUUCUGUUUUCAAAUAGAGCUGCUGCAAGGAUGAAACAGGACAAGAAAGAGAUGGCCAUCAGUGACUGCAGCAAAGCCAUUCAGCUAAACCCCAGCUACAUCAGGGCCCUGCUGAGGCGAGCAGAGUUGUACGAGAGCACCGACAAGCUUGAUGAAGCCCUGGAAGACUAUAAAUCCAUUCUAGAAAAGGACCCAUCAGUGCACCAAGCAAGGGAAGCUUGUAUGAGAUUACCUAAGCAAAUUGAAGAACGAAAUGAAAGACUAAAGGAAGAGAUGUUAGGAUCUAUUCCCUGUCUGCUUCCAUGAUGAGACCAAGAACUCCUAGAAGGAAUAGAGAAUAUUACACCAGGCGGAGAUGUGGAGGCUGGGGAGUGGCCGAACCUACUAAUUAAUGACCUGAACGUGGCAACCCUGGGCCCACAUCCGAGCUUCAGUAAAAUGACAAGACUCACACUUUGGACCUUCAGAGUUGCUCAGCUCCCUUAUCGUUAGUGGAAACCUGAGGAAGAAAAGAUAUUGCCAGAUUCCAGUGGCCUCCUUUCUAUACUCAUUUAGAUAAGCUGAAAUGGGAGAAUGUUUGCAAUUAAAGACUCCAUGUAUAUCUGGAAAAACUGGCAGCCUUCCAAAGGAUCACUUUACACAAAUGGAAAAAAAAAAGACUGACCUAAGUUUUUGGGUCAGUGCUGAAAAACCUCAACUAUCUG